rnacentral:rRNA from 1 species
UACCCGCAGCACAAGUGGUGGUCAUUAUUAUUGGGCCUAAAGCGUCCGUAGCUGGCCUGUUAGAUGCCUGGGUAAAUCGAUGCGCUCAACGUAUCGAACUCCGGGUAGACCGGCAGGCUUGGGACCGGGAGAGAUGUGAGCUACUCGAGGGGUAGGGGGUAAAAAUCCUGUAAUCCUUCGGGGAGGACCAGUGGCGAAGGCGUCACAUUAGAACGGCUCCGACAGUGAGGGACGAAGCCCUGGGGCGCAAACCGG